rnacentral:rRNA from 1 species
AACGAACGCUGGCGGCAUGCCUAACACAUGCAAGUCGAACGAGACCUCCGGGCCUAGUGGCGCACGGGGGCGUAACGCGUGGGAACCUGCCCUUAGGUUCGGAAUAACUCCCCGAAAGGGGUGCUAAUACCGGUUAAUGUCUUCGGACCAAAGAUUUAUCGCCUUUGGAUGGGCCCGCGUUGGAUUAGCUGGUUGGUAGGGUAAAAGCCUAUCAAGGCGACGAUCCAUAGCUGGUCUGAGAGGAUGAUCAGCCACACUGGGACUGAGACACGGCCCAGACUCCUACGGGAGGCAGCAGUGGGGAAUAUUGGACGAUGGGCGAAAGCCUGAUCCAGCAAUGCCGCGUGAGUGAUGAAGGCCUUAGGGUUGUAAAGCUCUUUUACCCGGGAUGAUAAUGACAGUACCGGGAGAAUAAGCUCCGGCUAACUCCGUG